rnacentral:tRNA from 1 species
GCGCCCGUAGCUCAGCUGGAUAGAGCGUCUGACUACGAAUCAGAAGGUCGCAGGUUCGAGUCCUGUCGGGCGUACCA